GGCAGGGGCUUGCGCUCAGGCUUUCAGUACUUCGGAAGAGCUCCCGGAGUCAGACCUUCCCCGCGGGAAGGGAACUGUUACGGAUUUUGCGCACAGAGCGAUCCAUACGGCGCAAGCC
ncrna:unclassified sequences DTF3268 RNA